GGGCUUGGUAGGGAUAAACAAGGUAGCAUACUCUACUUUGCAAAUAUUGUUAAGUCAAAAACAAGGAUCCAAAGAGAGGAGUGUCAUAGUCAUAGAUCAAGAUGUGCAAGUGUGUUAUAUGGUGGACUAGGUUGCUCCUUUAUUUGCUACACUCUCUCUACUUGUAUAUUGAGACAUGGCUAGAUUUUCUUUUUCUUCGAGCUUUAUGUGCUCAAUUCAAUUUUUUUUUUAUUAUUUUGCCAAGCCUUUUAUGUCUCAUUUUCUAAACAAUAUUUAGAGAGGUGUUCUAACACUUAGAGUAUGGAGCAACCUAUUUAGUGGAUGCACAAUACAUGUGGUUGCGUACUUCCAGUGUAGAAGCAGCAUAUAUAUAUGUGGUGUGUACGUGAUCUUGAUCUUGUGACUAUGAUACAACUCUCACUAGGGUCAACAAGGUUUUGACAAAACUCAUUACAAAAGUAGGUUGCAUUUCAUAAAAUGGUUACUUGAAUAUCUAAGUGUAUGGCAUUUGGUGGGAAUUUCUUGCUAAUGAGGAGUAAAUGAUACUAUGGUUUUGUGAUAUUUUUGAAACAAAUCUCUAAGUACCUUGAAUAGAAAUGUUAUGAAUUCUUAGCCAAGAGUUAUAUCACUUUCAUCAACAACUUAGUCAAUAUGGUUCCUAUAGAUUUUUACCCAUGAGGAUGAACAAUUGUAAGAACUAUACUUUAUGUCACAAUUUCUCUUAAAUCAUGAACCAGUUCACUUUUUAUUUUGCAGAC
rnacentral:lncRNA from 1 species